rnacentral:rRNA from 1 species
GACGAACGCUGGCGGCGUGCUUAACACAUGCAAGUCGAGCGGUAAGGCCCUUUCGGGGGUACACGAGCGGCGAACGGGUGAGUAACACGUGGGUGACCUGCCCUCAGCUCUGGGAUAAGCCCGGGAAACUGGGUCUAAUACUGAAUAUGACUCCAUGACGCAUGUUGUGGGGUGGAAAGCCUUGUGCGGCUGAGGAUGGGCCCGCGGCCUAUCAGCUUGUUGGUGGGGNGAUGGCCUACCAAGGCGACGACGGGUAGCCGGCCUGAGAGGGCGACCGGCCACACUGGGACUGAGACACGGCCCAGACUCCUACGGGAGGCAGCAGUGGGGAAUCUUGCGCAAUGGGCGAAAGCCUGACGCAGCGACGCCGCGUGAGGGAUGACGGCCUGGUGUAAC